CUUGAUGACGUCUACUCAUAGUAGCAUGUCUUCACCAUACUCCAGUGUAAAAAGUUGUCCAUUUAAAGAUUAAGGUUGCUGUUAUUCUGUAUUUUUGUGUUGUCAAAUAAUCAAUUUAUUAAGUAAACAGAUCUUAUUGAUACUGGAGGGUGUCACAGAUGUCCAAAUAGCCUACUUUCUAACGUUCCUAAGGUAAGCUGGUGAAUUUUUCUUUUGAUCAAGGCCAAGAGGUUUGGGUAGACACUUCAAGUGUACUGCAACACUUGACAACGUCUACUCAUAGUACCAUGUCUUCACCAUGCCCCAUGUAAAAAAAUGUCGAUUUUAGGAUAACGGUUGUUUUUUCCCUGUGUUUCUCAUGUUGUCAUCUAAUCGUGUCAUUAAGAAAACAGAUUUGAAUGAAACUGGAUGGAGUCACAGACUUCAAACUACAAUCAAACGUCCUAAGAUCAGGUCAUUAAGAAAACAGAUUUGAAUUAAAUUGGACGGAGUCACGGGUUUUAAACUAGCAUCAAACGUUCCUAAGGUCAUUAAGUAAACAGAUUUGAA